UCGAGUUUAUAUGUAGUGCUGAGGGCGGCUGCGGCUAUGGAUGGCGGCGGCCGCGAGGACAAGUACGAUGACGGUGGGACUGCUGCGAGUUGAAGAGGAAAGAGGAGGAGGAGGAAAAAAAGAGGAAGAAGAAGAGAAAGAGAAAUAGUAUAAAAUUCACCCAAAGAGUGUAAUUUUUACGUAAAUAGUAUAACUCUUAUCUCAAAAAAUAUAAUUUCUGUCUUAAAGAGUACAACUUUCAUUUAAAAUAGUGCGAAAUAUUUUUAAAACAAUAUAACUUUAUUUUAACAAUGCAAUUUUAUCUUCUUCUUU
rnacentral:lncRNA from 1 species